AUACGGAGGAUGCGAGCGUUAUCCGGAUUUAUUGGGUUUAAAGGGUGCGUAGGCUGUGCGUUAAGUCAGGGGUGAAAUGCCGUCGCUCAACGACGGAGCUGCCCUUGAUACUGGCGUGCUGGAGUACGGAUGCCGUUGGAGGAAUGAGUGGUGUAGCGGUGAAAUGCUUAGAUAUCACUCAGAACACCGAUUGCGAAGGCAUCUGACGAAUCCGUCACUGACGCUGAGGCACGAAAGCGUGGGGAUAGAACGGGAUUAGAUACCCUGGUAUUCCACGCCGUAAACGAUGAUGACUAACCGUCGGCGAUAGACAGCCGGUGGCCAAGCGAAAGCGAUAAGUCAUCCACCUGGGGAGUACGUCGGCAACGAUGAAACUCAAAUGAAUUGACGGGG
rnacentral:rRNA from 1 species